rnacentral:rRNA from 1 species
GACGAACGCUGGCGGCGUGCCUAAUACAUGCAAGUCGAACGAACUCUGGUAUUGAUUGGUGCUUGCAUCAUGAUUUACAUUUGAGUGAGUGGCGAACUGGUGAGUAACACGUGGGAAACCUGCCCAGAAGCGGGGGAUAACACCUGGAAACAGAUGCUAAUACCGCAUAACAACUUGGACCGCAUGGUCCGAGNUUNAAAGAUGGCUUCGGCUAUCACUUUUGGAUGGUCCCGCGGCGUAUUAGCUAGAUGGUGNGGUAACGGCUCACCAUGGCAAUGAUACGUAGCCGACCUGAGAGGGUAAUCGGCCACAUUGGGACUGAGACACGGCCCAAACUCCUACGGGAGGCAGCAGUAGGGAAUCUUCCACAAUGGACGAAAGUCUGAUGGAGCAACGCCGCGUGAGUGAAGAAGGGUUUCGGCUCGUAAAACUCUGUUGUUAAAGAAGAACAUAUCUGAGAGUAACUGUUCAGGUAUUGACGGUAUUUAACCAGAAAGCCACGGCUAACUACGUGCCAGCAGCCGCGGUAAUACGUAGGUGGCAAGCGUUGUCCGGAUUUAUUGGGCGUAAAGCGAGCGCAGGCGGUUUUUUAAGUCUGAUGUGAAAGCCUUCGGCUCAACCGAAGAAGUGCAUCGGAAACUGGGAAACUUGAGUGCAGAAGAGGACAGUGGAACUCCAUGUGUAGCGGUGAAAUGCGUAGAUAUAUGGAAGAACACCAGUGGCGAAGGCGGCUGUCUGGUCUGUAACUGACGCUGAGGCUCGAAAGUAUGGGUAGCAAACAGGAUUAGAUACCCUGGUAGUCCAUACCGUAAACGAUGAAUGCUAAGUGUUGGAGGGUUUCCGCCCUUCAGUGCUGCAGCUAACGCAUUAAGCAUUCCGCCUGGGGAGUACGGCCGCAAGGCUGAAACUCAAAGGAAUUGACGGGGGCCCGCACAAGCGGUGGAGCAUGUGGUUUAAUUCGAAGCUACGCGAAGAACCUUACCAGGUCUUGACAUACUAUGCAAAUCUAAGAGAUUAGACGUUCCCUUCGGGGACAUGGAUACAGGUGGUGCAUGGUUGUCGUCAGCUCGUGUCGUGAGAUGUUGGGUUAAGUCCCGCAACGAGCGCAACCCUUAUUAUCAGUUGCCAGCAUUAAGUUGGGCACUCUGGUGAGACUGCCGGUGACAAACCGGAGGAAGGUGGGGAUGACGUCAAAUCAUCAUGCCCCUUAUGACCUGGGCUACACACGUGCUACAAUGGAUGGUACAACGAGUUGCGAACUCGCGAGAGUAAGCUAAUCUCUUAAAGCCAUUCUCAGUUCGGAUUGUAGGCUGCAACUCGCCUACAUGAAGUCGGAAUCGCUAGUAAUCGCGGAUCAGCAUGCCGCGGUGAAUACGUUCCCGGGCCUUGUACACACCGCCCGUCACACCAUGAGAGUUUGUAACACCCAAAGUCGGUGGGGUAACCUUUUAGGAACCAGCCGCCUAAGGUGGGACAGAUGAUUAGGGUGAAG